rnacentral:rRNA from 1 species
GACGAACGCUGGCGGCGUGCUUAACACAUGCAAGUCGAACGGAAAGGCCCUGCUUUUGUGGGGUGCUCGAGUGGCGAACGGGUGAGUAACACGUGAGUAACCUGCCCUUGACUUUGGGAUAACUUCAGGAAACUGGGGCUAAUACCGGAUAGGAGCUCCUGCUGCAUGGUGGGGGUUGGAAAGUUUCGGCGGUUGGGGAUGGACUCGCGGCUUAUCAGCUUGUUGGUGGGGUAGUGGCUUACCAAGGCUUUGACGGGUAGCCGGCCUGAGAGGGUGACCGGCCACAUUGGGACUGAGGUACGGCCCAGACUCAUACGGGAGGCAGCAGUGGGGAAUAUUGCACAAUGGGCGGAAGCCUGAUGCAGCAACGCCGCGUGCGGGAUGACGGCCUUCGGGUUGUAAACCGCUUUCGCCUGUGACGAAGCGUGAGUGACGGUAAUGGGUAAAGAAGCACCGGCUAACUACGUG